UCCCCUCCCGCUCCCGCACCCGCAUCCUCCGAAACCUUCCCUCACCCACGCCUCGUUCCUCUUUCUCUCUCCAUGAAAGAAGCAACGUACAGAGAGAUCGGUUGUGUCGUGCUUGGAUUGGAGGAUCCGAUUCCGCAGCGGCGGGGCGGAGGUGAGCUCUCUCCGAGCGAUCGGGGAUGGUCGGAUUCGCUUCCGCGCGAUUUAGGGCUUCGAUUUCGCGAAUCGGAGUAGUUCGAGCGCUCGAUCGGGAGAUCGGGCGCUUCUGUAUAUGCUCCGAUCGAUAGAAGCGCUUCGGAGGGCUCGGUUUCCUCGUCAUUGUGUGGAUUCCUGUUGAAAAUUCACGAAGCUUGACGCUGUGGAGAUGGUCUCCGCCGACGACCACCUCAAACGAGUCAUCGAUUCCGAUAUCGAUUGUGCGGUGCAAUCCGACAUUCGCAAUCAGGUAAACUCAUCACGAUCUUCUUACUCUAUUAAUUUGAUCUUCUAGUGCUCUAGCUUUCUUUUUCUUGAUCACAGUUAGGCAGUGGUCCCUUACCAUCUUCAGAACAGAUUAGGCAAAUUAAGUUAAAAAAAAAAGAAAAGAAAUUAGAUUCCGCUCAGUCGGUAUUGAUAGUGUGCCUUUACUGAUUUAAUUAGAUUGGAUUUGGUUGGAUCAGAUCAGGUUUUGUAAUUAGAUCAGGUUUUGUAACUAUGUUUUGUAUAUCUGUGAGUGGCUCAUCCUAUUUCAGUGUGCAGAUAAGAAAACAGUUAACAGGUUUUAAAUUUUGUCCUUUGGUAAUGAAGUUGUUAAAUGCUCCUCCAUUAAAUCCUAUAUUAGGUUCGGUUCAGCUCAA